UAAGCCCUUCAAGUAUGUGGACUAUUACACUAAUAUGUGGGUCUUCCCCAAACUGUUGCCACAAAGUUGGAAGCAUGCAAUUGUAUAGGAUGCCUGUAUAUGCUGUAGCAUUUAGAUUUCCCUUCACUGGAACCAAGGGACGCAAACCUGUUCCAGCAUGACAGUGCCCCCGUGUGCAAAGCAAGGUCCAUGAAUUGUAUUGAAUGGUAUUGAUGCAUCACAUGAUUAUAAUUAUGAUGAUCAAGGAUAAUAUCCAAAAAGCAUUAUAAAUACUGAAAAUUUCCAGCAUGCAUUUUGCUUGCAUCUGCUUCUGGAAUCACCAAACUAUCAAGCACAAAUGCCAUCCUUCAAUUCAAUUCAAUUCAAUUCAAUUCAAUUUUAUUUGUAUAGCGCUUUUUACAAUAGACAUUCUCUCAAAGCAGCUUUUUUUUAUCCUUCAAAUGGACUCACACAUACACACAAACUCUCUCCCUUUCUAGUCAUUUUUGCUGCAUGGCUUUGUCCUAACUAAUAAACUUCUCAGUGCGGAGGUGGGGUGGUUGUCAGAGAGUUACAUAUGUAACGGUGGUUCUAUUGCAGUUUUUCUCAAAAAAUUUGACACAUUUCUCCAGACUCAGGUCACUGCUCUCAAAAAAUUAACACAUCUGAAUACCUAAAUAGAUUUUUUAAAAGAGUUUUUAUCAAUUUCAUACAAAUUACAAGCAUACUUUUCACACAGUACUGUGCACAAAACUCUUCAAUGUUUUCACAAUAUUUCAUCCAGCCAACCAGAACUUUCAUAUAUCAGGAUGAAAUCAACUGCAUUUUUUUAUUAUUAUUAUUUAUUUAUUUUUAUUUUUUUGGUGAACACAAAUCACAGAUAUUUAUGUAACAUUUUCCCAAACACAACAACCAAAACUGUAUUUGUUAAAUUCUCAGUUACACAUGGUAUGUUCUCAUUAUUUAUUAGCCCCAAAUUAAUAUCUGCUGAGUUAGUAAUACACACAACACAGAAAAUGCAAAUGUUUAAUUGUUUACACAGCUAUCACUAUUACAACAACUAUAAAAGAGAAAAAAAGAAAGAAAAAACCCCAAUGAGAAUAAGAAGGAGAAAGAGAAAAGGAAGAGGUGUAAGAGAGGUAGAAGGAUAGGGUACAGAUGGGUUUCAAAUGAAAUGAGAGCCACUCUAAUUGACCUUUUAAUAAAUCAUGAGAGAGUUCAGCCCAACAUAAACCGAUCCACAGUGGCUUCAAUUAUCUACAAGUUUUAGGGGGAAAACCAGUAAGUAACCAUGCCAUUCUACAUCUAUAGUUAGAGUCUAGUUCUAUUUAUCUACUGUAAAUGUUCCUACUUGUCCAAACAUUUUCAGAAAGGAAGUUCAAGAAUAUUCAAAUGGACAAACAAGACUCUUUUAAACUGAACAAGAGCAUGUCAUUGUUGACAUGGUAGUACAGAACAACAACAUCUGGUUAAAAAAAUUCAACAAAUUAAAGUACAGAACUAUUCCACAAUAUUCACCAAUGCAGUCUUGCCACAAAUAAUCAUGUUGUAAGGAGAAAUGGCAUCUGGAUGAAGCAGGUUGUCACGGAUUUCCCUUUGCGCUGAGUGCCGGAGCAUUUAGUGCGCAUGAACUGCUGGAAGCGACAGCGUGCCUCCAGUUUUUCAUUGACUAUUUACCGUUACAUUACUGUUUACUAUUUUGGUUUUUGUCUUAUCUCCACCUUGUUAUGUUAUUGGUUCUUUCCUAAAGUAUCAGCUGUUUUGUCUUAUCCCCUUAGAUUAGUUUGUAUAUUUAAAUCCCUCACGUCUCUUUGUUUGGGGUGAAGUAUUGUGUGUUUCUGUGUUUUCACAAGACCUGUACCAAGCCUUUGAUCCAUGUUCCUCGUUUCAUAGUUUCUUGAUUCUGUUUUUGUCCUCACGUUUCUGAUUCUUGUUCCGCCUAGUUUAGCCCAUUUGCCGAUCGCCUGACCCCUUGCCUGUUUUAUUACCUUGAUAUUGCCCUAUCAUUUGGAUUUGUCUGGAUCUUAAAUAAAAGCUUUAACUGCAUUUCCAUCUGUCUCCAGCCGCAUUACAUGAUACAGGUAUACAAAGUCCCUUUGAGAGGAGCUAUUCCAGCUUGUUCAAGCAUGUGUAAGCCACACAAUUUUUGCACUUUUACUAAAAAUGCAAAUAUAUUGUUUUCCUGGACAUUAUGUGUCUAUAUACUGUUCCACUCUAAGUGGAAAAUUUCAAGCGUCUCAAGGCAUAGUGCUGUGUUAUUGUGGGGACUCAGACUGUUCCGCAACACUUUGCAAUGAAUACCACAACUUUAAUAUAAAAAAUCACUAACUUAUUGUACUUUGUGUUCUUUUUACUCUAGAGGAUUUUGGAGUUGGAUAGCUGUGCUACUCAUUUUGAGUACCUGUAUAUUGAUUAAGCUGGCUUCAAUCUUAACAAAAAAUGUAGAAGUGGGAGGUCUGUGAUUGGUCAUCAUGCCACAAUGUCCCUGGUCAACAGGGAGGCAACUUCACCACUGCAAUUU
ensembl:lncRNA